UAAACUAGGAUUAGAUACCCUAUUAUAUUGAAAAAACAUAAGGUAGUAAAACUUUUUAUUUAAAACCUAUUUAUAAUGGCGGCAUUUUAUCUUAUUAGAGGAACCUGUUUUUUAAUCGACAAUCCACGAUAAUUUUCACUUUAAUUAAAAAUUUAUAUACCGCCAUCUAAAGAGCUAAUUUUAUAAUAUUACUCUUAAUAAAAAAUAAAAAGUUAGGUCAAGGUGUAAUCAAUAUUAAAGAUAACAAUGGGUUACAUUAAAUAAAAUUUAAGGAAUUUUACUUUGCAAAGUAAUAUAAAAAAGGAUUUAAAAGUAAUAUGAACUNAU
rnacentral:rRNA from 1 species